rnacentral:tRNA from 4 species
GCUCCCUUCGUCUAGCGGCCUAGGACGUCGCCCUCUCACGGCGAAAACAGGGGUUCGAUUCCCCUAGGGAGCGCCA